rnacentral:lncRNA from 12 species
UACACGCGUUACGCGCCUCGGCACGUGCACAGAGGCGGCCCACUCCGCCCCUGCGCCUUUGCACGCCUUUCGCCGGAUGUGCACCAGCGGCCACGAAGGGCGCCCCCUCCCCCCCGUAAGUGACCUCUGGGGGUCUCCCCGGUGUUCGCGGCGGGCACCGGCUCUGCACUGUCGCUGAAAUAGGGAAUCCCGGGGUCUUCCCUGUCCGCCUCGGGGGCCAGCGUGGAGGCUGACGGCCGACCCGUGCCCAGCGUAACGAUUUGCGAGUUGCGGGGGGCGGGGGGGGGUGCGGGGGGGAUUGAAAGAGACAUCUAAGACCCGGGUGAGGACGUGUGUCACGAGGAGCAAGCCCGCGACAUGCUGGAGGAACGACAGUCACUUGAAUCAGAGCAGAAGGUGUGGCGAGCAAGAGGGGAGCAGUUAGCUUUCUCCCCCAUAGGCUCAGCUUCCAGAGUUGGACGUGAGCAUCACAGUGUCAUACAAGUGGACUCCAAAAUGGUACCAGCCAACAGCAAGAAACAAACUAAUUCAUUCAGGAUCAUCUGCUUUAACCAAAUGAUAUCAACCAUGAAGAUAUAAUGAUUGCUUCAAGUUAAACAGGAAAGUCAAAUUAUUAUGUAUUUAUUGAAGACCUUCUACAUGUAAAAUAAUCUAUAUAUAGUAGGUACAAGUCAGUCCUGAUUUUUUAUGUUGACGAAGAAUUUUCAAGUGACCAUGAAUCUAAAUCAAUUUUUGUUGUGUUAUGAUGCAUUUCUCUGUGCUAUUUGUUUAUGAGGUAUAGCUGCCAUCAAAAUGAAAAGAUUCACAUGCGCUACAUAAAAAUAGCACAUGUAAAACCAGUAUGAAACCAAAUAUGUAACAUAGUGGAAAGAAUAAUGGGCACACUUAGACUUUGCACUAAAUUAUUUUUGUGAUGAUGAAACUUCCCAUUUCUCAGCUUCUCCAAUUAUAAAAUAAGGAGUUUGUAAUACCCAAUGUCUCUUAGAUCAACAUUUUACAAACAUGGCCUGAAGCCAGAGAUAUAACUAUAAUAUCAUAAGGUCUAUCAAAUUUCCCUUUAUUUGGUUUUUAACCCAUAGAUUAUGGACAUUAAACUUCUUGCCCAAUAUUUUCUGCAGACAAUUUUAUAGAAACUUGGGCAAAAUGGAUCAUCUUAUUGUACAUCAGAAGGAAAUACAAACAUUUCUUAAAAGUGACUGGAAGUUCAUGUAGCACCUGUACUCAGUAUUCCAGAAAUAAAAGUUAUACCUGAUAUAAUACA